rnacentral:lncRNA from 1 species
AGAAAGCAGGGAUUCAGGAACAAGGAAACAAGCCCUCCACUGCUGGGAGAGGCGUGGGGAAAACUGAAACAGGGGAACUCUCGGAAGAAAUGACAACCUGUUCCUCCUGCCUUUUGGGAUCUUGCGAUGUGGGCCCGGAUUUGCUUUAUAUCAUUUUCUUGUUGUUCCAUGUCACGUGGAAGAAUGCCUUGGAGGAGGCUGUCUGCAAACACUGGCAGUAUUCUUAGAGGAAGCUUGGGUUUGGGGCCUAGACACAUCCAGUCUCCAUGAAACGAUGAGAACAGCUGUCCUGAAAUGACAGAGCAAGAAACCUGCGCAGCAACAGCCUCAGAGAGGCCCCUUAAUAUACCUUCUCUACUAUGAAAAAUCAGUGAAUAAGUCUCAUGAGAUCUGAUGGUUUUAUAAAGUGGAGUUACCUUGCCUGGUGCCAUGUAGGACAAACCUUUGCUCUUCCUUCAUCUCCUGCCAUGAUUGUGAGGCCUCCCCAGCCAUGUGGAAUGCUUCCUGUCUCCAAGGGGAUUUUUUCCCACAGAAAUAUAUUGCUGAUUGGAUGUUGCCUCUCUAAUUUUGGAGACCAUAUGUUCUAGGUAUUCCGGGAAAAAUCUGCAUUUCAAAUCCUGGAUCCAUUGUUCCCAAAAGCCAUGUAAGAAUCCCAACAGAGAUAGGUCCCUCUCAUGGAUAUGUCCUAUGUCCCAGGGAUACCGCUCAAAGCAUUUUGUGGCUGAAGACAUUUAAUCUUUCAUAGAAACUCCUGAAGAAGAUGUUAUUGCUAUUAUAAUCAUAUGUAUUUGGAAAUGAAGACUUUGAAAGGUUCUAACUUAUUCAACAUUUCUCAACCAGCAUGUGGCAAAGUUCUGAAAGUCUGUUAUUCUAACCAACAUCCUACCUUGAGGAGCAAUGAUGUUCACCUGUCUGGUUGCCACAACUCACGUCCUUCUGUGGGCAGCAGAGUUCCAAGACGUUCCCCAAGAUCUCAUUUUCUGGAGGUGCAUGUCUCCCGUGACCCCCUCUUUGGAUUGCCCGCAGAGCCCGUGAAGAUGGUGUUAUCACUCCUGUGAUUACUUUACUGAUCAGGUGACUUUGAGUCAAUCAAAAGGUAGAUUAUCCAGGUGUGCCUGAUUUGAUCAGGUGGUCCCUUAAGGAGGCUUAAAAUGACCCUUUCUGAAGUAGAGUAAUUGGAAAAGUAAGAGGGUCUAUGGGUGGGGUCACCUGGCAAGGAACUGAACUCAGCCUCCAUGAGCUCUGGCCACCAGCUGACCUUUAGCAAGAAAGCAAAUCUUUCUUUGGUCAGUCUCCACAACAGGACGAAGCUGGCUGAGCCCUUGCCUUUGGCCCUGUGAGAUGCUGACCCGAGUAUCCAGCGAACACGUGCCAGAGUCCUGACCCAUGGAAACUGAGAUGAUGAGUCUGUGUUGCUUUAAGCCACUGUGUCUACAGUAAUUGGUUAGACAGCAAUAGAAAACUAAUAAACCUCCCUCUUUUUCAUUUA